rnacentral:tRNA from 1 species
GCGGUGGUGGUCCAGCCUGGUCUAAGACAUCGCCCUGCCACGGCGACAACGCGGGUUCGAAUCCCGCCCACCGCA